rnacentral:rRNA from 1 species
AUUGAACGCUGGCGGCAUGCCUUACACAUGCAAGUCGAACGGCAGCACGGGAGCAAUCCUGGUGGCGAGUGGCGAACGGGUGAGUAAUAUAUCGGAACGUGCCCAGUCGUGGGGAUAACGUAGCGAAAGCUACGCUAAUACCGCAUACGAUCUAUGGAUGAAAGCGGGGGAUCGCAAGACCUCGCGCGAUUGGAGCGGCCGAUAUCAGAUUAGGUAGUUGGUGAGGUAAAGGCUCACCAAGCCGACGAUCUGUAGCUGGUCUGAGAGGACGACCAGCCACACUGGGACUGAGACACGGCCCAGACUCCUACGGGAGGCAGCAGUGGGGAAUUUUGGACAAUGGGCGAAAGCCUGAUCCAGCAAUGCCGCGUGCAGGAAGAAGGCCUUCGGUU